rnacentral:rRNA from 1 species
AGAGUUUGAUCCUGGCUCAGAGCGAACGCUGGCGGCGUACUUAACACAUGCAAGUCGUACGAGGAUCGUCGGGUUAGCAAUAAUUCGGCGGUUCGAGUGGCGCACGGGUGAGUAACACGUGGGUAACCCACCCUCGAGACCGGGAUACCCUCUCGAAAGGGAGGCUAAUACUGGAUACGUUCCCCGGGACGCAAGAUCUGGGGAGGAAAGGUGGCGAAAGCUGCCGCUCUUGGAGGGGCUCGCGGCCUAUCAGCUAGUUGGUGAGGUAAUGGCUCACCAAGGCUAUGACGGGUAGCUGGUCUGAGAGGACGACCAGCCACACGGGAACUGAGACACGGUCCCGACUCCUACGGGAGGCAGCAGUGGGGAAUUUUCCGCAAUGGGCGAAAGCCUGACGGAGUGACGCCGCGUGGGGGACGAAGGCCUUCGGGUCGUAAACCCCUGUCAGAGGGAAAGAAGGGUGUCGGCGUGAAUAGCUCCGGCAUCUGACGGUACCUUCAGAGGAAGCCCCGGCCAACUCUGUGCCAGCAGCCGCGGUAAGACAGAGGGGGCAAGCG